AUAAGAUGAGUAUCUUGCGCUGAAUAUAUAGGCGUAAGAGGCGAACCAGGGGAACUGAAACAUCUAAGUACCCUGAGGAAAAGAAAUCAACCGAGAUUCCCCUAGUAGCGGCGAGCGAACGGGGACCAGCCCUUAAGCAUGUGACUGAUUAGGCGAAUGCGCUGGGAAGCGCGGCCAUAGUGGGUGAUAGCCCCGUAGUCGAAAAUCUGAUCAUGUGAAAUCGAGUAGGUCGGGGCACGAGAAACCUUGACUGAAGACGGGGGGACCAUCCUCCAAGGCUAAAUACUCCUGGCUGACCGAUAGUGAACCAGUACCGUGAGGGAAAGGCGAAAAGAACCCCGGAGAGGGGAGUGAAAUAGAUCCUGAAACCGUGUGCGUACAAGCAGUAGGAGCAGACUUGUUCUGUGACUGCGUACCUUUUGUAUAAUGGGUCAGCGACUUAUAUUCAGUGGCGAGGUUAACCGUUUAGGGGAGCCGUAGGGAAACCGAGUCUUAACUGGGCGACACAGUCGCUGGAUAUAGACCCGAAACCGAGCGAUCUAUCCAUGAGCAGGGUGAAGGUUGAGUAACAUCAACUGGAGGCCCGAACCAGGAUCUGUUGAAAAAGAUUUGGAUGACUUGUGGAUCGGAGUGAAAGGCUAAUCAAGCUCGGAGAUAGCUGGUUCUCCUCGAAAGCUAUUUAGGUAGCGCCUCACGUAUCACCGCCGGGGGUAGAGCACUGUUUCGGCUAGGGGGUCAUCCCGACUUACCAACCCGAGGCAAACUCCGAAUACCGGUGAGUGCAAGCGUGGGAGACACACGGCGGGUGCUAACGUCCGUCGUGAAAAGGGAAACAACCCAGACCGUCAGCUAAGGUCCCGAAAUCCUGGUUAAGUGGGAAACGAUGUGGGAAGGCUCAGACAGCUAGGAGGUUGGCUUAGAAGCAGCCAUCCUUUAAAGAAAGCGUAAUAGCUCACUAGUCGAGUCGGCCUGCGCGGAAGAUGUAACGGGGCUAAACCAGGUACCGAAGCUACGGGUUCACACU
rnacentral:rRNA from 2 species